rnacentral:rRNA from 1 species
AACGAACGCUGGCGGCAGGCUUAACACAUGCAAGUCGAGCGCCCCGCAAGGGGAGCGGCAGACGGGUGAGUAACACGUGGGAACGUACCCUUUUCUACGGAAUAACGCAGGGAAACUUGUGCUAAUACCGUAUACGCCCUUCGGGGGAAAGAUUUAUCGGAGAAGGAUCGGCCCGCGUUGGAUUAGCUAGUUGGUGGGGUAAAGGCCUACCAAGGCGACGAUCCAUAGCUGGUCUGAGAGGAUGAUCAGCCACAUUGGGACUGAGACACGGCCCAAACUCCUACGGGAGGCAGCAGUGGGGAAUAUUGGACAAUGGGCGCAAGCCUGAUCCAGCCAUGCCGCGUGAGUGAUGAAGGCCUUAGGGUUGUAAAGCUCUUUCACCGAUGAAGAUAAUGACGGUAGUCGGAGAAGAAGCCCCGGCUAACUUCGUGCCAGCCGCCGCGGUAA